rnacentral:rRNA from 1 species
UACGUAGGGGGCAAGCGUUGUCCGGAUUUAUUGGGCGUAAAGAGCGUGUAGGCGGCCAUGCAGGUCCGUUGUGAAAACUGGAGGCUUAACCUCCAGACGUCGAUGGAAACCGUAUGGCUAGAGUCCGGAAGAGGAGACUGGAAUUCCUGGUGUAGCGGUGAAAUGCGCAGAUAUCAGGAGGAACACCAAUAGCGAAGGCAGCUCGCUGGGACGUUACUGACACUGAGGCGCGAAAGCGUGGGGAGCGAACAGG